rnacentral:misc_RNA from 1 species
CAAAAUUUCAUGUAGCUUCUUCAUGAUGCUUUGCAUCUCUAUAUUCAUGCACCAUGUGCUUAUUUUUCAAGCUGUUAUACCUGAUAACAGUAUGCAUGGGUGGUAUUGGUUCUUUUAACUUGCCAGCUUGCUGCAAUGAAUAUGCUUAUAUUUUGUGCCACAGGGCCAGUAUAGGUCCAAUGGGUCAAAUCAAGGAGCAACACAAAGAGCUUCAGCUUUGGCGGCCUUGAACUCUGCAUUUAAUUCAUCCUCUGGACCCAAAGUUACAGCUUCAAGGACAUCUGGACCUAGUCAGGGAUCACAAAGAGCUGCUGCUGUAGCUGCUCUAUCAUCAGUUCUUGCUGCUGAAAAGAAGAAAACACCUGAAACCUCUCCUUCCCGCAGUCCUCCCCCAGAAACUAACCUUUCUGCUGAAGGGAAGAGUGAAAAUUCACUUUC